AAUCAACGCUGGCGGCGUGCCUAACACAUGCAAGUCGAACGCGAAAGCCCUUUCGGGGGUAAGUAGAGUGGCGUCCGGGUGAGUAACACGUAGGUAAUCUGCCUUCGGGUGGGGAAUAACCAGUCGAAAGAUUGGCUAAUACCGCAUAAUGCAGCGGCACCUAAUGGUGAUUAGUUGUUAAAGCGGGGGAUCGUAAGACCUCGCGCCUGAAGAGGAGCCUGCGGCAGAUUAGCUAGNGGUGAGGUAAUGGCUCACCAAGGCUUCGAUCUGUAGCUGGUCUGAGAGGACGGCCAGCCACACUGGCACUGACACACGGGCCAGACUCCUAC
rnacentral:rRNA from 1 species